rnacentral:rRNA from 1 species
CCCAGACUCCUACGGGAGGCAGCAGUGAGGAAUAUUGGUCAAUGGGCGCGAGCCUGAACCAGCCAAGUCGCGUGAGGGAUGACGGCCCUACGGGUUGUAAACCUCUUUUGUCGGGGAGCAAAUUCCGCCACGUGUGGCGGAGUCGAGAGUACCCGAAGAAAAAGCAUCGGCUAACUCCGUGCCAGCAGCCGCGGUAAUACGGAGGAUGCGAGCGUUAUCCGGAUUUAUUGGGUUUAAAGGGUGCGUAGGCGGGCUGUUAAGUCAGCGGUCAAAUGUCGGGGCUCAACCCCGGCCUGCCGUUGAAACUGGGGAUCUAGAGUGUGCGAGAGGUAUGCGGAAUGCGUGGUGUAGCGGUGAAAUGCAUAGAUAUCACGCAGAACCCCGAUUGCGAAGGCAGCAUACCGGUGCACAACUGACGCUCAGGCACGAAAGCGUGGGUAUCGAACAGGAUUAGAUACCCUGGUA